ACCAAAUUAGGCACACAGUUAGGCUACUGAUAUUUCAGAGCCAUGGUCGGGGCCAUAGAUUCUAACUUGCACAAAC